AGGGUGCCGAUUCAGCUCCUUUAAGUCUGAGUCACUAAAAAUGUAAAAAGGUAAAAAUUAUUAUG
rnacentral:sRNA from 1 species